rnacentral:rRNA from 1 species
GUGGACGUUGGAGAUUUGAGGAGAGUUGCUCCUAGUACGAGAGGACCGGAGUGAACGAACCGCUGGUGUUCGGGUUGUGAUGCCAAUCGCAUUGCCCGGUAGCUAUGUUCGGACGGGAUAACCGCUGAAAGCAUCUAAGCGGGAAGCCCCCUUCAAGAUAAGAUCUCCCUGAGGACUUGAUCCUCCUAAAGGGCCCUUGUAGACCACGAGGUUGAUAGGCUGGGUGUGUAAGCGCUGCGAGGCGUUGAGCUAACCAGUACUAAUUGCCCGAGAGGCUUGACCAUAUAACACCGAAG